GCGGGCGGCGGCGCGGGGCUCCGCGUGUCGGGCGCGGGGUGACUGGCUCCAGCUUGGGCCGCAGGGCCGCGACGGGGGAGGCGCCUCUGUCCCCAGGGUUAGCUCCGGUCCCCGGCGAUGGGGCGCAGGCGGGGCGCAGGCGGGCCGCGGCGGCCCUUCCCUCCAGGUGAGUUCGCUGGGAGAUCAGUGUGCGGGCUGAACGCGUGCUGGUGUCUUUGCUGCCUGAUCCCGGGAACCUGGAGUGUCGUUGUUGGGGGCUUAGAACUUCCUAGGUUUCUUUGCUUUCAUUUACUCAACCUGUAACUUCUGAAGCCUGACCUGCUCAAGACCCUGUUUUGUGUGGAUGUAAAUAAAAGGGUUCAGUCCCCAAGGAGACUUUUCCUGCACUUUAUGGUUUUCAUCCCCAUGACUGUGUGUGCCAUGUCGCUUCUGCCUCUGAGCUACAUAGUUGGCAGCACCGGUCCCACUGAGUGACGUAGAGAGCCCCUCCCGGUUCUCUGUAGGACACAGGAGCACUCAGGGCCCUGCUCAUCCUAGAGCACAAGCCGCCUCAAAAUGGGGGCCCGUGGAGGGAGGUGACCGUUGUCUCCUGGUGACCCAGGGGGAUGGGGGGCAGCUAGUGUAGUUCAGGGUGGCAGUCACCUUGUGCAGACUUCACUUGGGACAGAACUCCCCAGGGAAUGGCUGCUGGCCUCAGCACUGGUCUCUGGAAGCUGCCGGGCGCUGCCCACCUCGGCUUCCUCCUGUGUUUCCAGCCCCUCGGGAGCCAUCCACUGCAGAGAACUCUCCCGGGCCUUCCUGCCCUUUGAGUGUUGGCCACGUGUUGAUGUGAGAAGAGGAGAAACUAGGGCAGGACGUAUGUAUGUUGUUACGUGGCAUAGAGCGGUUGUCCUGACUUCAGAUGUAGUCGUGCUGCCCCUCGGGUUCCUCCCGCAGCUUGUGUCUGGGUCUUGGACGUACUUGGUCGAUCCCUUGACUUAACAUCUUCUGGCCCAGCCCUUCCUUGUCCAGCUCUACUCCCAGGAGGGUCUGGCUCACGAGUGCCUGACCGAGCCCAGAAUGCAGCUUCAGACCCGCAAGGUGAGCCAUUGGUGGCCUUUAUGACGGACUUGUAGUCAGAGGGACCGCAGAUGUGCUGGGGAGGCAGGGCCACCCGGGACACGUGAGUUCUCGCAUCAGCAGUGAGGGGCAGGAGUACCACGUUCUCCACGGUGUGGGGUUAGCCCCACAUCCCAGCUCCGCGCCAGCCUGCUGUGUGACCUCAGGCGGGCCACGUCCCUGUUUCUUAGUAAGACGGGGACCAUGAUGACGGUGACCCCCGAGGAAAUCGUGUGAAGUGCUCAGGAGCCCUUCAGAUCCAUGGGCUGGCUGUUGUACAUUCUUGGAUAUCCAGAGCAUCUCGUGGUAGUUGGGGCUGCAAGAUUCCAGAGUGGGGUCCAGAGUGCCGUCUGCCACUGGAAGGUCACCCCUGCUUCCAGAGUGGGAGCUGGGGCAGGUUUGCUACAGGCUCUUGGUGUUUUCACCCCUUUGGGCUGCUCGCAAGAGCACAUAACUCCUGGAGUGGGCACCUGCCCUGCUAUCCAUGCUUGUCUUUAGAGAAAGGGUAGUAAUUGCCCAUAUUAACAUCUUGUGUUAGGAUACGUAUACUGGGGGAGACUGGACAUGUUGGUGUUUCUGAAAUAAACCGUUUUGAGCCU
rnacentral:lncRNA from 1 species